AGUUUGAUCCUGGCUCAGGACGAACGCUGGCGGCGUGCUUAAUACAUGCAAGUCGAGCGAGGUUACUGUUUUGGAUCCCUUCGGGGUGAAGAAGCUUUAACCUAGCGGCGGACGGGUGAGUAACGCGUGGGUAACCUACCCCAAAGUCCGGGAUAACAGCGGGAAACCGCUGCUAAUACCGGAUGCCUUUACCUUGGGGCAUCUUGAGGUAAAGAAAGGUAACGCUUUGGGAUGGGCCCGCGUCCCAUUACCUAGUUGGUGAGGUAACGGCUCACCAAGGCGACGAUGGGUAGCCGGCCUGAGAGGGUGGACGGCCACACUGGGACUGAGACACGGCCCAGACUCCUACGGGAGGCAGCAGUAGGGAAUAUUGCGCAAUGGACGGAAGUCUGACGCAGCGACGCCGCGUGAGCGAUGAAGGUCUUCGGAUCGUAAAGCUCUGUCCUUGGNNAAGAAGGUCUUCGGACUUGACGGUACCCAAGANNAAAGCCCCGGCUAGCUACGUGCCAGCAGCNNCGGUAAUACGUAUGGGGCGAGCGUUGUCCGGAAUUACUGGGCGUAAAGGGUGCGUAGGCNNCCCUUUAAGUCGGANNUGAAAGCNNGCGGCUUANCCGCGGAAUGGCAUUNNAAAC
rnacentral:rRNA from 1 species